GAUGAACGCUAGCGGCAGGCCUAAUACAUGCAAGUCAAGGGGACCAGCAAUGGUCACCGGCGACGGGUGCGUAACGCGUACACAACCUACCCUUAAGAGGGGGGAUAGCGGCGGGAAACUGCCGGUAAUACCCCAUGGUAUUAUUGAAUCGCCUGGUUUGAUAAUUAAAGUUCCGGCGCUUAAGGAUGGGUGUGCGUCUGAUUAGCUAGUUGGCGAGGUAACGGCGUACCAAGGCGACGAUCAUAGGGGGCGUGAGAGCGUGGACCCCCACACGGGUACUGAGACACGGACCCGACUCCUACGGGAGGCAGCAGUAAGGAAUAUUGGUCAAUGGAGGAAACUCUGAACCAGCCAUCCCGCGUGCAGGAAGAAUGCCCUAUGGGUUGUAAACUGCUUUUAUCUGGGAAGAAAAGCCGGCAUUUAUGUUGGUCUGACGGUACCAGAGGAAUAAGCACCGGCUAACUCCGUG
rnacentral:rRNA from 1 species